GGGGAAUAUUGCACAAUGGGCGAAAGCCUGAUGCAGCGACGCCGCGUGAGCGAAGAAGUAUUUCGGUAUGUAAAGCUCUAUCAGCAGGGAAGAUAAUGACGGUACCUGACUAAGAAGCACCGGCUAAAUACGUGCCAGCAGCCGCGGUAAUACGUAUGGUGCAAGCGUUAUCCGGAAUUACUGGGUGUAAAGGGAGCGCAGGCGGGCGAUCAAGUUGGAAGUGAAAUCCAUGGGCUCAACCCAUGAACUGCUUUCAAAACUGGUCGUCUUGAGUAGUGCAGAGGUAGGCGGAAUUCCCGGUGUAGCGGUGGAAUGCGUAGAUAUCGGGAGGAACACCAGUGGCGAAGGCGGCCUACUGGGCACCAACUGACGCUGAGGCUCGAAAGUGUGGGUAGCAAACAGGAUUAGAUACCCUGGUAGUCCACACCGUAAACGAUGAUUACUAGGUGUUGGGAGAUUGACCCUCUCAGUGCCGCAGUUAACACAAUAAGUAAUCCACCUGGGGAGUACGACCGCAAGGUUGAAACUCAAAGGAAUUGACGGGGGCCCGCACAAGCAGUGGAGUAUGUGGUUUAAUUCGACGCAACGCGAAGAACCUUACCAAGUCUUGACAUCCCUUGACGAUGCUGGAAACAGUAUUUCUCUUCGGAGCAAGGAGACAGGUGGUGCAUGGUUGUCGUCAGCUCGUGUCGUGAGAUGUUGGGUUAAGUCCCGCAACGAGCGCAACCCUUAUGGUCAGUUACUACGCAAGAGGACUCUGGCCAGACUGCCGUUGACAAAACGGAGGAAGGUGGGGAUGACGUCAAAUCAUCAUGCCCUUUAUGACUUGGGCUACACACGUACUACAAUGGCGUUAAACAAAGAGAAGCAAGACCGCGAGGUGGAGCAAAACUCAGAAACAACGUCCCAGUUCGGACUGCAGGCUGCAACUCGCCUGCACGAAGUCGGAAUUGCUAGUAAUCGUGGAUCAGCAUGCCACGGUGAAUACGUUCCCG
rnacentral:rRNA from 1 species